AUCCACCUGACGAGUCUCAAAUGAGACAAAACACGCGUCCUGGAU
rfam:Schistosoma rodhaini strain Burundi genome assembly, scaffold: SROB_scaffold0000184